rnacentral:lncRNA from 1 species
ACCUGGCAGUACUCCAUCUCUUUCCUCAUAAAUCUCUCCGCCUCUGUCGCUUUCUUCUAAAUUUUAGGUGGCGCUCCGAUCUCCGUCGCAUUGCCGGUGACCAAUGCCACCACCUUCGCCACCACCGUCGUCUCCGCCUUGAUCCUCGAAGAGGAGAUGCUAGCCGGGCCUGCACCUCUUUGGUACCGCUCUUAUCGUUCUGGGUG